CUGCAGUGCGCAGCUACCAUGCAGUUGAGCGGAGAUAUAUGGAGCUUGCUUUAUAUAACUUAGCAGCGAACGGGUGAGUAACACGUAGAUAAUCUAUCCUAUACUGGGGGAUAGCCCGAUGAAAGUUGGAUUAAUACCGCAUAUAGCUAUAUAGUUGCAUGAUUAUGUAGUGAAAGAUUUAUUGGUAUAGGAGGAGUCUGCGGCACAUUAGCUAGUAGGUGAGGUAAAGGCUUACCUAGGCGACGAUGUGUAGCCGGUCUGAGAGGAUGAACGGCCACAAUGGAACUGAGACACGGUCCAUACUCCUACGGGAGGCAGCAGUGGGGAAUAUUGCACAAUGGGGGAAACCCUGAUGCAGCAACGCCGCGUGAGUGAAGAAGGUUUUCGGAUUGUAAAGCUCUGUUAGCAGGGAAGAGGAAGGACGGUACCUGCAGAGGAAGCCACGGCUAACUACGUGCCAGCAGCCGCGGUAAUACGUAGGUGGCAAGCGUUGUUCGGAAUAACUGGGCGUAAAGGAUGCGUAGGCGGUUAAACAAGUUAUAUGUUAAAUAUAUAGGCUUAACCUGUAGAAAGCAUAUAAAACUGUUUAACUAGAGUGCAGGAGAGGUAAGUGGAAUUCCUAGUGUAGCGGUGAAAUGCGUAGAGAUUAGGAAGAACACCAGUGGCGAAGGCGACUUACUGGACUGUAACUGACGCUGAGGCAUGAGAGCAUGGGGGAGCAAACAGGAUUAGAUACCCUGGUAGUCCAUGCUGUAAACGAUGGGUACUAGGUGUGGGUUGUGAAUAACAAUUCGUGCCGUCGCAAACGCAAUAAGUACCCCGCCUGAGGAGUACGAUCGCAAGAUUAAAACUCAAAGGAAUUGACGGGGACCCGCACAAGCAGCGGAGCAUGUGGUUUAAUUCGAAGCAACGCGAAGAACCCUUACCUAAACUUGACAUACCUUUGAAUUACCUUGUAAUGAGGGAAGCUCGCAGAGCAAGGAUACAGGUGGUGCAUGGU
rnacentral:rRNA from 1 species